ensembl:lncRNA novel transcript, antisense to DKKL1
GUGGCCACGGAGUUUGUCUGGUGGUGGAAGGAGGGGGUGGCUGCGCCCGCCAUGCUGGGGCUCGUGUUUUUCUCUUCCGCUUCAGGCUUUGGUGAAAUGGGCUGAGGAAGGGGGAAUUGAACUGAGAGACUCCUUGUCCGUCCCCCAUUUCUUUCUUUUUUUUUUUUUUUUGAGAUGGAGUCUCGCUCUGUCGCCCAGGCUGGAGUGCAGUGGGACAAUUUUAGCUCACUGCAACCUCCGCCUCCCGGGUUCAAGCAAUUCUCCUGCCUCAGCCUCCCGAGUAGCUGGGAUUACAUGCGCCCGCCACCACACCUGGCUAAUUUUUGUAUUUUUAGUAGAGACGGGGUUUCACCACGUUGGCCAGGCCGGUACCGAACUCCCAACCUCAGGCGAUCCACCCGCCUCGGCCUCCCAAAGUGCUGGGAUUACAGGCGUGAGACACAGCGCCUGGCCUGUCCUUUUUAUGUAUUGCCAUAUUUUCUUUUCUUUUCUUUUCUGUGAGAUCCCUGUUGAGUUUUGUUAACAAGGCUAUGCUGAUAUAAUGUGUGGAGAAGUGUUCUCUCUUUUUCUAUUCUUUGAAAGUGCUAGUGUAGGAUUGAUGUUAUUUAUUUUUUAUGUGUUUGGAAGAAGUCACCAGCCAUCUGGACCUAGAGUUUUCUUUGUGGAAAGACUUUAAAUUACAAAUUCUAUUUCUUUUAUAAAAAUACAACUAUUCAGAUGUUCUAUUUUAUUUCUGGGUCUCACUCUGUUACGCAGGCUGGAGUACAGUGGCACAUUCUUGACUGACUGCAACCUCCACCUCCCAGGCUCAAGCGAUCCUCCCACCUUGGAUCUGUCCAGUCCAAUCACAUGAGCCCUUCAAAGCAGAGGACUGUCUCUGCCAGAAGAGGAAGGCAUACCAGAGAUGGGACACAAGGGGAAGUCAGAGUCCCGCCAUGAUACUGGGCUGUGGCUCUGGGAUGUCAGGUCCACCUGCAGUAACUGGAGAGAGGCCUCUUGGAGCUAAGCGUGGAAGCAUGGGUGGCCCCCAGCUGACAGCCAGCAAGAACGUGGGGACCUCAGUCCCACAAGCCCAGGAACUCGAUUCUGCUUAAAAUCUGAAUGAGCUUGAAAGCAGCUUCUUCCCAGAGCCUCCCAAUGAGAGCUCGGGUGGCUGACACCCUGUGAAACCCAGAGCUGAGGGCCAGCGGAGCCAUCCUGGAUUUCUGACCAGGAUGAUAUGUGAAAUAAUGCAUUUGUGUUGUUUUAA